CUAGGAUUGUGGGAAUUGUAGUCUGGCGACGCCGCCCUCCUCGCCAUUCCUGUAAUGGUUGCUUUCCGGCAGGUGGUGUCGUGUGUAACAACCUCUUAGUCUCAGCAUCCAGAGUUCCAGAAACAGAAUAUUUCAAAUCAGAUAGGAUUGUAUAUAUACUAUUGCUUUGAACGUUCAACCCUCGAGAUCUCAACAUCAUGACUUCAAUUUCAACACAACUGAUCUUGGUUCUUACAUCACUGCUUUUGGUUCUGCCUGUUGUUGAAGCAGUAGAAGCUGGAGAUGCGAUUGCUCUCUUGUUAGGCGUGGUUCUCAGCAUUACAGGCAUAUGUGCUUGCUUGGGGGUAUACGCUCGAAAACGAAGUGGACAGAUGUAACUUUGAAGGCUCUUCUGAAUCAGCUUUCACCUUAAACCCAUUUAUGCUGUUGAAGCUAAACCUGAGGUUUGUCCCUAUAGUUCCCCAGCAAACAGUUAAUAGGGUGAUUCCACAUUCUUAAUUCUUUCUCAUUAAAUGGGAAGAUACUUAUUAAAUGAGAGGGAAAGAUGUUUUCUUUACAACAAAUAGUGCACUGAAAGAACACAGCCUAUAAUAUAUAUUUGCUGCUUAGAAAGAGGGUCAAAAUGAAAUGGCUUAAAUUUUCAUAAGUAUUACUUCAUACUUUCAGAAUUGUCAAAGCACACAAAAAAGAAAGAAGUGUUUGCUCAGAAUCUAGCAAGUCAGCAAUGCUCAGUUGUAAUCACUGCCUCUUGACUCUUUGAGUCUUUUUUUUCCAUUUUUUUAUUACCUUUCUGUUUUAUCUCCCAAGUUGAUGUUGUACUUAGAUUUUAAGUUGCCAAAAAUUGAAAUUUUUAUGUCUGAGGAAAAGAACUUUUAAUAAAAAUGUACUCAACGUAUCUAAUACUCAAAUGGAAGACUCUACAUAUACUUAAAGAAAGACCUUUAUAUUAAUUAACAGAUCCUUGGUGAGAAGAAGUACUGUAUUAAAUACACAUCCAUUAUGAUAU